UACGUAGGGGGCUAGCGUUGUCCGGAAUCAUUGGGCGUAAAGCGCGUGUAGGCGGCCCGGUAAGUCCGCUGUGAAAGUCCAGGGCUCAACCCUGGGAUGCGGGUGGAUACUGCCGGGCUCGAGUCCGGAAGAGGCGAGUGGAAUUCCCGGUGUAGCGGUGGAAAUGCGCAGAUAUCGGGAGGAACACCGGUGGCGAAGGCGGCAUCCUGGACCGGCAUUGACGCUGAGGAGCGAAAGCCAGGGGAGCAAACGGG
rnacentral:rRNA from 1 species